ensembl:lncRNA
AUGCCCUCACUAGCCCAUGCUUCAGGAGCUCUGGAGACUCCCAGUCCAGUCAUCCUCCUCACAGAGACAGGAAACAUGGCCAACUGCAGCAGCGUUUCCAGACUUGUCCUCAUGGCCCUCCUCGGCCUCUGGGUAGCCACCCUCCACUCAGAGACUGCGGCAGACCCCACACCCACUUUACAAGGGGACAACCAGGACACGCUGUCCGGAGAGGGGGCGUAUGAAGUCACCACCAAAGACCCCUUCCAGGAUAUGACCGAGAGUGUGUUGACCUUCGAAUACGAGGACACCACCCACUCACAGGCCGUGGACGAGGAGGAAAGUGUUCUGGGCCCGGGUGCCAUCACAGCCAUCGUCAUCGCAGUCGUCCUGGGGGCUUCAGUCCUCCUCGCCCUCAUCGUCAUUACACUCAGGAAGUUCACUGCUUCCUAGAGCCACUUCCUCCUCUUUCUUUCAAUCUCUCUCUUUCACUUCUUUGUCACUUCCAUUCAUCUAUCUUUAUUGAUUUUCCCCAUUCUCUAAAUGUUCUCCCAUUCACUCCGUUUCCCUUACACACACACAUAUUGUGAAAGUGAAACCAUCUACAACCCUGGAUGCUGUAAUGGUAUGUGGCAGGUCCCUUUUGGCCUUGAAGAGCAACUGACAAUGAAAUACCUUCAGCCUCUAGCUACUAUAAUCAUGCUGUUCUUGUUGGCCCCCAUGUCCACUAUUACGUUCUCAAUUGGAGGUUUAAGUGGGAGUUAGGAUUUGCCCCUAAGAGGACAUUAGAGACUGGCAGGUUCUUCCAGUGUAACGUCAUAGCUUUAAUAAAAUCCCUUUUACUUUACUUGUAAUGAUCUGUGUGCCGAAAUGUUUUGUCCAGCUUUGAUUUGUUCUUGCUGAUCUUUGUGGAAGUCAUUUUUUUUCUGACGGUUCUGUUGUGUGUUGCUGUAUCCUGUCUGUCUUUGUGUAUGAACGGGUGUGAUGAGUGUGUCUUUGUGACGAUGAAUCCACCAUGUUCAUUACGUUGCUGAGUGCCUACUCUGUUUGGUUAAAAGUGAAGUGUUAUUGACAGUAGAAUGAAAAAUGAAAUGAUUUACCAAAUGUACAACACAGAAUUCACUUGUAUGACCAAAUGUUAUUUGGAAUGAUCUUCUCUCAUGAGAGAAUGUUUUCACAAUGCACACAAUGUGCUACCUUUUAUUGGCAAGUAGUCUUUUUUUAAUUUAAGAAACGUUUGCCAUUUUCCAUUGGAACAAACAUAUUGAUAGUGACCCAGAACUAUAAUAUUUUAAUAUGAAAAUGCUGGCGUCGUCAAUAAAUAAACAUAAACAGGGUAUUUUUUUAAUAUUUUUUUUUUUACCUGCAAAGCAAAUAACCUUGCCUAUUAAACGGCAGAAUGACUGUUGUGUUUGUGUUUUUGGGGGGGAUUGAUGGGAAGCGUUGUAUAAUAUUUAGAUUUUCUCUAUUACUCUUGCGUUUUACCAAUCAACUAACUAAUGCUUAUGUAAAACAAAUAUUCUUUAAGGUAAUAUCACCUGUUUUGAACUAUGUUUUAUAUUGUAUAAAUCACUUCCUACAACCAAAUAUU